rnacentral:rRNA from 1 species
AUUGAACGCUGGCGGCAUGCUUUACACAUGCAAGUCGAACGGUAACAGGCCUUCGGGUGCUGACGAGUGGCGAACGGGUGAGUAAUGCAUCGGAACGUACCCAGAGGUGGGGGAUAACGCAGCGAAAGCUGUGCUAAUACCGCAUGUGAUCUGAGGAUGAAAGCGGGGGACCGAGCAGCAAUGUUUGGCCUCGCGCCUUUGGAGCGGCCGAUGUCGGAUUAGCUAGUUGGUGGGGUAAAGGCCUACCAAGGCGACGAUCCGUAGCUGGUCUGAGAGGACGACCAGCCACACUGGGACUGAGACACGGCCCAGACUCCUACGGGAGGCCGCAGUGGGGAAUUUUGGACAAUGGGCGCAAGCCUGAUCCAGCAAUGCCGCGUGCGGGAAGAAGGCCUUCGGGUUGUAAACCGCUUUUGGCAGGAACGAAACGGUGUCCGCUAAUACCGGGCGCUAAUGACGGUACCUGCAGAAUAAGCACCGGCUAACUACGUG